AGUGAACGCUGGCGGUAGGCCUAACACAUGCAAGUCGAACGGCAGCACAGUAAGAGCUUGCUCUUACGGGUGGCGAGUGGCGGACGGGUGAGGAAUACAUCGGAAUCUACUUUUUCGUGGGGGAUAACGUAGGGAAACUUACGCUAAUACCGCAUACGACCUACGGGUGAAAGCAGGGGAUCUUCGGACCUUGCGCGAUUGAAUGAGCCGAUGUCGGAUUAGCUAGUUGGCGGGGUAAAGGCCCACCAAGGCGACGAUCCGUAGCUGGUCUGAGAGGAUGAUCAGCCACACGGGAACUGAGGAACGGUACAGACUCCUACGGGAGGACGCAGUGGGGAAUAUUGGACAAGGGGCGCAAGCCUGAUCCAGCCAUACCGGGUGGGUGAAGAAGGACUUCGGGUUGUAAAGCCAUUUUGUUGGGAAAGAAAAGCAGCAGGUUAAUACCCCGCUGUUAUGACGGUACCCAAAGAAUAAGCACCGGCUAACUUCGUG
rnacentral:rRNA from 1 species